GCUGAGAGCAGAGCCUUCAGUGGAGCCCAGCGUCAACUGGGGGUGCCUUCCCUCUCUGAAGGAAUAUUUUCCUAAAGCACCAAUGCCACGCCAAGGUUUGAGAAAAUGGACAGUUUUGAACAUUUUUCAAGGCUAAGCUGAAAAGGGACUGGGGCAAGCCUUUGGGCACUGCAUUCUGAAGUUGACCUCAGAAUUUAAAACCAGUACCUUUCCAGAGCUGUUUGCUACAAACAUGAGCAUGGAAACCCCCUUUCCUGGCUAGAAUGAUAGAGUGUGACGCACAGUGGUUUGCAUCUUGUGGCUUCAUUAAACAUAUUUGUAUGCAGACGAAAGAGUCUCUGGGUUACCAGGGAGUCUUGCUAUUAAAAUGCAACUCCAGGCCGGUUGGUCUUUCAAAAGUCAGAAAGAAUGGCUGGGCAUGGCUUGGUCAUUGCUCUUGUGGGCUUGUCUGAGGCGCAUCUUGGAGGAGGAAAUGCAUUCAAAGAGCUUCCUGAACUGCUCUGAAAACGCCACAAGAACAUGGAGACCUGAAGGCUCUGUCCUUUCUCACCUCUGUUCACUGUUGAUGGAUCAGAUUAGAAAGUCAAGAAAGGCAAGGACUGCUGUAUAUCCGCUUGGGUCACCUGUCUGUCCUUAGGGCCUGCACAUCUGUCAGGUCUACGAGGAGCUCUACAAAUGAAUUAUUGAACAAACAUGGAAAUUAAGUGUUUUGCUCAUUGCCUUAAUCUUGUGCAACUUCAAAUAAAAAAGCUAUUUACAUCACAGAAAUCAGGGCCCAUUCAGGAUAUCUAGUCCUUUUAACUCCCUGCCAGCUGGUCAUCUCUCUGAGAAAUUUGGGUUUUCAAAAUUAUGAGAUAUUUCAAAUGUACAGAAAAAGAUAACUAGGUGCCUACCAUCCC
ensembl:lncRNA